rnacentral:rRNA from 1 species
CCCUUAGAUGUUCUGGGCCGCACACGCGCUACACUGGCAGGUUCAUCGAGCUUCAUGCCCUGAUCUGAGAAGAACGGGAAAUCUUUGAACACCUGCCGUGCUUGGGAUAGAUGUUUGCAAUUAUUCAUCUUCAACGAGGAUUGCCUUGUAAGCGCACGUCAUCAGCGUGCAUUGAAUACGACCCUGUAUUCUGUACACACCGCCCGUCGCUCCUACCGAUUGAAGUUUUCGGUGGAUUUACUGGAGAUCCCUUUUGAAGGUGGUUCGCCACUGGAAGAAGUAUUCAAAAGUAAAUGAAUCGAAUGCUUUAGAGGAAGGAGAAGUCGUAACA